AGCAUGUGUGAGAGGAAACCUGGGGAAGAACAAUGGACGUUGGUACUUCAGAGCACAGCAUCAGCUGCAGUCCUCAAGCAGGAGAGGAAAAGCCACCGUGGCAGAAGAUACACUGCAGCUAGGGUAACAGCAGCGAUGGACAGAGAGCUGCACUGGAGGAUGUCCUGAGAAAUGACUUUAAAUAAUGGUUAGAAGAUAUGCAAAAAGAAAUAAAGUGGAGCUUCAAUAAAAGAUCCAGUGUUGUACUGAACUUAACAUGGAAGAAACUUGAAGGUGGAUAAUCGAUGCAGUGAUAAAUACACAUCCAUU